rnacentral:rRNA from 1 species
UUAAGCGACUAAGCGUACACGGUGGAUGCCCUGGCAGUCAGAGGCGAUGAAGGACGUGCUAAUCUGCGAUAAGCGUCGGUAAGGUGAUAUGAACCGUUAUAACCGGCGAUUUCCGAAUGGGGAAACCCAGUGUGUUUCGACACACUAUCAUUAACUGAAUCCAUAGGUUAAUGAGGCGAACCGGGGGAACUGAAACAUCUAAGUACCCCGAGGAAAAGAAAUCAACCGAGAUUCCCCCAGUAGCGGCGAGCGAACGGGGAGCAGCCCAGAGCCUGAAUCAGUGUGUGUGUUAGUGGAAGCGUCUGGAAAGGCGCGCGAUACAGGGUGACAGCCCCGUACACAAAAAUGCACAUGCUGUGAGCUCGAUGAGUAGGGCGGGACACGUGGUAUCCUGUCUGAAUAUGGGGGGACCAUCCUCCAAGGCUAAAUACUCCUGACUGACCGAUAGUGAACCAGUACCGUGAGGGAAAGGCGAAAAGAACCCCGGCGAGGGGAGUGAAAAAGAACCUGAAACCGUGUACGUACAAGCAGUGGGAGCACGCUUAGGCGUGUGACUGCGUACCUUUUGUAUAAUGGGUCAGCGACUUAUAUUCUGUAGCAAGGUUAACCGAAUAGGGGAGCCGAAGGGAAACCGAGUCUUAACUGGGCGUUAAGUUGCAGGGUAUAGACCCGAAACCCGGUGAUCUAGCCAUGGGCAGGUUGAAGGUUGGGUAACACUAACUGGAGGACCGAACCGACUAAUGUUGAAAAAUUAGCGGAUGACUUGUGGCUGGGGGUGAAAGGCCAAUCAAACCGGGAGAUAGCUGGUUCUCCCCGAAAGCUAUUUAGGUAGCGCCUCGUGAAUUCAUCUCCGGGGGUAGAGCACUGUUUCGGCAAGGGGGUCAUCCCGACUUACCAACCCGAUGCAAACUGCGAAUACCGGAGAAUGUUAUCACGGGAGACACACGGCGGGUGCUAACGUCCGUCGUGAAGAGGGAAACAACCCAGACCGCCAGCUAAGGUCCCAAAGUCAUGGUUAAGUGGGAAACGAUGUGGGAAGGCCCAGACAGCCAGGAUGUUGGCUUAGAAGCAGCCAUCAUUUAAAGAAAGCGUAAUAGCUCACUGGUCGAGUCGGCCUGCGCGGAAGAUGUAACGGGGCUAAACCAUGCACCGAAGCUGCGGCAGCGACGCUGAUGCGUUGUUGGGUAGGGGAGCGUUCUGUAAGCCUGCGAAGGUGUGCUGUGAGGCAUGCUGGAGGUAUCAGAAGUGCGAAUGCUGACAUAAGUAACGAUAAAGCGGGUGAAAAGCCCGCUCGCCGGAAGACCAAGGGUUCCUGUCCAACGUUAAUCGGGGCAGGGUGAGUCGACCCCUAAGGCGAGGCCGAAAGGCGUAGUCGAUGGGAAACAGGUUAAUAUUCCUGUACUUGGUGUUACUGCGAAGGGGGGACGGAGAAGGCUAUGUUGGCCGGGCGACGGUUGUCCCGGUUUAAGCGUGUAGGCUGGUUUUCCAGGCAAAUCCGGAAAAUCAAGGCUGAGGCGUGAUGACGAGGCACUACGGUGCUGAAGCAACAAAUGCCCUGCUUCCAGGAAAAGCCUCUAAGCAUCAGGUAACAUCAAAUCGUACCCCAAACCGACACAGGUGGUCAGGUAGAGAAUACCAAGGCGCUUGAGAGAACUCGGGUGAAGGAACUAGGCAAAAUGGUGCCGUAACUUCGGGAGAAGGCACGCUGAUAUGUAGGUGAGGUCCCUCGCGGAUGGAGCUGAAAUCAGUCGAAGAUACCAGCUGGCUGCAACUGUUUAUUAAAAACACAGCACUGUGCAAACACGAAAGUGGACGUAUACGGUGUGACGCCUGCCCGGUGCCGGAAGGUUAAUUGAUGGGGUUAGCGCAAGCGAAGCUCUUGAUCGAAGCCCCGGUAAACGGCGGCCGUAACUAUAACGGUCCUAAGGUAGCGAAAUUCCUUGUCGGGUAAGUUCCGACCUGCACGAAUGGCGUAAUGAUGGCCAGGCUGUCUCCACCCGAGACUCAGUGAAAUUGAACUCGCUGUGAAGAUGCAGUGUACCCGCGGCAAGACGGAAAGACCCCGUGAACCUUUACUAUAGCUUGACACUGAACAUUGAGCCUUGAUGUGUAGGAUAGGUGGGAGGCUUAGAAGUGUGGACGCCAGUCUGCAUGGAGCCGACCUUGAAAUACCACCCUUUAAUGUUUGAUGUUCUAACGUUGACCCGUAAUCCGGGUUGCGGACAGUGUCUGGUGGGUAGUUUGACUGGGGCGGUCUCCUCCUAAAGAGUAACGGAGGAGCACGAAGGUUGGCUAAUCCUGGUCGGACAUCAGGAGGUUAGUGCAAUGGCAUAAGCCAGCUUGACUGCGAGCGUGACGGCGCGAGCAGGUGCGAAAGCAGGUCAUAGUGAUCCGGUGGUUCUGCAUGGAAGGGCCAUCGCUCAACGGAUAAAAGGUACUCCGGGGAUAACAGGCUGAUACCGCCCAAGAGUUCAUAUCGACGGCGGUGUUUGGCACCUCGAUGUCGGCUCAUCACAUCCUGGGGCUGAAGUAGGUCCCAAGGGUAUGGCUGUUCGCCAUUUAAAGUGGUACGCGAGCUGGGUUUAGAACGUCGUGAGACAGUUCGGUCCCUAUCUGCCGUGGGCGCUGGAGAACUGAGGGGGGCUGCUCCUAGUACGAGAGGACCGGAGUGGACGCAUCACUGGUGUUCGGGUUGUCAUGCCAAUGGCACUGCCCGGUAGCUAAAUGCGGAAGAGAUAAGUGCUGAAAGCAUCUAAGCACGAAACUUGCCCCGAGAUGAGUUCUCCCUGACCCUUUAAGGGUCCUGAAGGAACGUUGAAGACGACGACGUUGAUAGGCCGGGUGUGUAAGCGCAGCGAUGCGUUGAGCUAACCGGUACUAAUGAACCGUGAGGCUUAACCUU